AGUUAAACUAAGUUUUAUUCUCAUGCUUAUUUUAUUUACAUGACUCUCUCAUAUAUAAUUUGUUGUAUUUCUUAAUUGAUUGGUUUUUGAACUAUUUUUGAUUGAUAAAAUCUAAAGAUAGGAAGAAUAAGCUCUCUAUAUAUAAGUGUUUAAAAAGUUCAAAAGUAUACUUCGAAUAAAUAUUAUGAAAAUGCACCAGGGAAGCCUUAAUCGAGAGUAUAAAGCAUAUGACAAGAGAGAUACAUAUAAAAAAAAUGAAAAUGAUUCUAUGGAGCGAACAGUUAAAGUUGAAGACAAUGGCUUAUCUUCUUCCUUACAAAAGGUGUCUAAUAGUUAUGCUAAUGUUGAUGAAGUUGAUUCUGCUGGUCAGACUGGUUCUAUGCAAAAAUUGGAUGUGGUAAGACAUCCUCAAACCAGUAACGAUUUAUCUUCUGCAGUAACUUCAUCUCCUAAAGUAUCAGAUACAAAAAAAGAAAGUAUUGAAUCUAGCUCAACAGCAUACAAAGGAAAGGGGGAAAAAAAGUUUAGUGGCAGGUGUCGUCUUUUUGUAGCUAACUUACACAACAGUACUACUGAAGCAGAUCUUCGUCAAUUAUUCUCACCAUUUGGUGAAAUUGGUGAAGUGUAUGUUAACAAAGAAAAAGGAUUUGGCUUUAUUCGAUUGGAUUAUCGUCACAAUGCUGAAGUUGCCAAAUGUCGUUUAGACAAAACUGUUUUCAAAGGUCGUGUUUUACAAGUUCGCUUUGCAACACAUGCAUCUGCAAUUGAACUUCAUGGUCUUGAUCGAUUUGCCUCAAAUGAAUAUAUUGAACAAGCGAUGAGUGCAUUUGGCAGCGUUGAACGUGUUGUAGUUGUUUGCAAUGAAAGAGGUUAUUCAAAAGGACAUGCAAUUGUGGAGUUUGAAUGGAAAAAAUCAGCUCAAAAAGUAUUGGAUAGAUUCAAAGAUGAAAUGUUUGUGUUAGGAAGAUUGCCAAAACCUAUUUUUGCAAAACCAUUUCUACAGCAAGAUGAUGAAGAAGGUAUACAUGAAUCAGAGGUUUCCAAGUUUCAAGGAUAUAGUGUUGAACGGGAGUAUACUCCUCGGUUUAUUCCACCCAACUCUUUUGAGUAUAUUUGGGCUAAAAAAUGGAAAGAUCUUUAUCUUGAAGAAGAAGGAAAAAAAGCUAAAUUAGAACAAGAAUUACAAGAUGCAAGGUUUAAUUUAGAAAAUGAGAUGGAGGCUGCAAGUCGACAACAAGAUGCUGUUAGAAUUAGAGAAGAGCUUUUGCGUCGUCAAGAAGAACUUCGUCAGAUUGAAGAAGAUUUACAGAGAAGAUCUGCUGUAAUCAAUUUAAGAAAUGAACAUCGAAUUCCAGAUACUUCUAGAAAACGAGAGUUUGAUUCUCCGAAAAAUACUCCAUUGCCAUCCAGAGAAUUCCAACAAAGGCAGAUAGCUUUUAACGAAGAUAUUGUACGUCAGAAUGAGUUUAUUCUUCGACAACAAGCUGAGAUAGAAAUGAGAAGAAAAGACAUAUUAAGAGGGCCUUCCAUGCCUUCUAAUAUGAUUGCUAUUCGACCUGAUAUUAUGCGUCCCAUUACUAUUCCUCUUGGUAAUAUGCAGGUGCCUUCUCGCACUGUGAUGCAUGGGUUACCACAUGGUUUUAUGCCUUCACCUGCGGGAGGAAUACAACUUGCACCAAAUAUUCAAAGACCAAUGAUGAGAAUUUGACACAACCAAUGCAGGGGAUAAGUUGUGGUUUUGUUUCUGACAUGUUGGACACAAGUCAGCUAUUGCUAAUUGAGUUGGGGAAUCUGAAUAUGCAAGAACAAUAAUAUAUGCUAGAUUUGUAACAAGAACAAUAAUUUAUGCUAGAAUUAGUUGUUGAUUGAUUGGUUGUUGUUGUGGUGAAUUUUUUAGUUGUUCAUUGAUUGGUUGUUGUUGUGGUGAAUUUUUUAGUUGUUCAUUGAUUGGUUGUUGUUGUGGUGAAUUAUUUGGUUUGUCAGUGGUUAGAAGAUUUUGAGGUUAUGGAAAGAACCAAAGAUCUUUCACCUAGGAAAGUUGUUGUUACUAAAGCAUUGCAUGAAGAAAAAACGUAAUCACAUCGAGAAAUAGCUUCAAGACUACAAUUUUUUACAAAAAUCAGUAAGCCGUAUUAGCCAGGCUAUUAAGAAUGGGUAAAAUAACAUUUCUGCACGACAAGGAAAUUGUGGACGCAAGUCCAAAGUGAGCCUGAGAACCAAACUUAUCCAAAUGGCUAAAGUAAAUAGAAGAACCACUAGUGACUUGAAAAAUUCCUUCGAGAAGUAUGGUGUUGAUAUUUGCAGUUCUACGAUUAGAAGAAGGCUUAUUAAUGUCUUCCAGCACGUCAGCCAAGAAAGAAAGCCAAAAUAACAAUGGCAAUCACUAAAAAAAGGGUUAACUGGGCCCUAGAGGUUAAAUCUCGCUUUGGGAGUGAUUGGAGUAAGAUCCACUUCUCUGAUGAAUCCAUGUUUUCAAUAUGCGAUGAAAGCAGUCAAUAUGUGAGGAGAUCUUCAAACAAAGAGUUUUCUGAGACUUGUGUUGCUCAGACUGUGAAGCAUCCUACUACAGUUAUGGUGUGAAGCAUCAUCUCAGCCAAAGGCAUAGGGCGUUUAUAUAUUGUUGAAGGCACAAUGAAUCAACACCAGUAUUAGAAAGUUUUGGAAACAAAACCUCUUCCCCAUUUGAGAGGCUGGUUUUCUGAUGAAGACUGUGUUUUUUUUGUUUUUGCAAUUUGAUAAAAUUGCAAAAAAAAAAAAUAAUAACAGAGAGUAUUUCAUCACAAAAAUACUCUCAAACACAAAGAAACAUUUUGUCGCUCAACAGGUUUUGUGGAAAGAUUGAAGCUAUAUUUAAAUGUGAAUGAGUCACAAGUGUCUUACUUUCUAAGUAGUAAAGGUUCUUAAGAUCAUCCCACCUAGCAAUUGAAUUAUCAUCAUUGUCCUUAAACCGAGUUUCUUGAAAUUUUACAGUAAUUAUAUGAACAUAAUCGUAAAGUAAAAAAAUUUUUAGUCAGCCAUGGUUUCUCUUAAAAAGUUUCAAAGAGAGAAAAAAACUUUACAUUGACUUUACUAUUGUCACACAAUCGCAACACAACAACAUUUGCAUUGGAAAUUUAUCCAAGUAUAGAAUCAACUACUUCAUACUGAAAAUCUGAAGACAACAUACUGGAAUCAUGCAUACUAUAAAAGUGGGUCCACCAAAAAGACAUUUAGUCAUAACAGCUAAUAUUGUUUUUGCUAAUUUGUCUAGUUGAUUAACAGAUUUCCCAAAAAGUUCUCCACCGUGAUAAGUUAAUGAAGCUUUAACAUAUACUUCAUCACCUAUUAAAAUGCACCGUCGUUGUUGGUUAGUAAGUUUGCAAAAAUUAUGCAGAAUAAAUUCAUCAUUGUUUGAUUUUGAAGCUUUUGAUAUCAAUUUUUGCAGAGUAGAAACACUGGGUAGCUGAUACACACUGGGUAGCUGAUAAUCAUUUCGAAUUCGCUUAUUAAGUGCUCUUGAAACAGAAAAAUAUUCAAAAGCUCGAAAAAUAGUGUUUGAAGAAAUAAUAUAUUGCCAAUACUUAAAAUUUUCAUAGAAGAUAAACUUUCUAUAAUAA